rnacentral:misc_RNA from 1 species
ACAACAAAUUUGUGAGAUUGUGAACAUUUGGUAUGCAAACAUUUGAUUUUCUAGUAACAUGUCUGAUAUAUUCCACUGAAGAUGCCCUUUACAAAUCAAGCAACUAACAACUAAAAAUUGCAGAUAACAAUAGAAGCUAUCAAGAUUUCAUCUAUUUGUUUAAAAGAAUGGAUCUGUGAAAAAUUUUAUACAAUAUGGGGGAAAAAUAUCCAAGGGAAACUCAAAACUUCACAAGAAAUAAUAAACAAAACCAGAGACACCUGUAGAUCUGCCAUUUUUCUGCUUAACUAUAUUUCUUCAUCGAGGCGCCAAAGAAACAGAGAAAUCAAUUGGCAUACCAAUCUUCUCAGCCCAGUUCUUGGAUUCCAAAUACAAUUUUGACACUCUAACAGCCACCUGCUCCAUAUCUGGCCGCUUCUCUGGAUCAUCCUCCACACAAUCCAACCCCACCACCACCAUCUUCUCUGCCACAUCCACUGGAUACGAAUCCUUCAACCUCCUAUCAACCCAGCUCCUCACCCCACCGCCACCGCUACCCACUGCCUCUCUUGCCCUCUCUAUCACACCAACUCUGCUAAACUCUCCUCUCCCUUCAUCAAACACAUAAUUCAACGCCUCCUCUCCUGACACCAGCUCCAAAACCACCACCCCAAAAGCAUAAACAUCGCAUUUCUGCGUCACAACCCCACUUGCUUGAAACUCCGGCGACAUGUAUCCUCUUGUCCCUUCAAUUUUCUUGCCUUUACUAUUACUCCUGCCAAAACUUCUCGCCUCAGAUCUUUCACUUCCCUCUAUUUCCCCGCAUAGCUCCGCCGCCCCGAAAUGACAAAUCUUGGCAUCCAACAAAUCUUCAGCUACUAAAAUGCUCGAACUCUUUAUAUGGUUAUGCACAAAGCCUGAAUUUGAAUCUGCACAAUGAUGAAUGUAAUCGAUCCCAUGAGCGAUAUCUGUAGCAAUAUGCAUCCGGGAGAGCCAAUUUGAAAGUACCGUGUAAUUUGGAUUCUGUGGGUUUCUAAGACAAGUAGCUAAACUGGUUCCAUGAAAGUAUUCGUACACAAGAUAUAUAUAAUUCCCUGAAGUGGCCGCGCCCAGAAGCUUAAUCAAGCUACUAUGAUGACUCCUGCAGAUGGUGGAUAACCGCUGCUGGAGAUCCGGUAAUUUUAAGGGGUCACGGUGGCGGAACUUGCGCUGGACAAUAAUAACCUCUUUCCGGCGAAUCUGGCAGCGCCAAGAGGUGGAAGAGGAAGAGGAAGAGAAGGGUUUUGAUAGGAAGUUGUUGGUGGCUCUGCAUAUUUCAACAAAGUCAUAAAUUUUUGUAUUCUCUGGUAAAGAAGCUUCUUUAAGGAUUUUGAGAAAGCGUUUGCUUGAGAUGGAAGAAGAAGAUGAUUUUGAAGUGUCCUUAUUAUGGUUAAAGAAGCCUGAAGAAGAGUAAUUAAUGGAUGAUGAUAAUGGGUUAUUGCCGGAUGAUGAUGAUAAUGACUUUGAUGAAGAUUUUGAAGGGUGGGAUUUUGGGGUAAGAGAUUGGGUUACGUCGAUGCUUUUUCUUGAUUUGCACAUGAGGAUAAUUGGAACAAACGGAAACAGUCUUGGGUUCUUAUUGGUGGUUGGUGGUGGUGGGUUGGCAUAGAAACAACAGUGUCUAGAGAACAAAUUAACGUGUAAAAGUGGGUAUUUUCAACAGGGGAUUGUUUUUGGAGAUUUGCAGUGUUGUCCUUGUCAGAGACAUAUCAAUUCAAAAUCAAAGAUGAGGAAGCGAAGGAAGAAGAUGAAGAAUAAUAAUAAUAAGAAAGAAGACAA